ACUCCCUUGAGCUUUUCUUUCUAACUUCUCUCUUGAAUGAUCUAGCUUUGGGUUGGUGAAGAGUUGUUGAGAACCACUUAAGAGGUCCCUUUUAUAGCCCAAAAAGCAAAUAUAGCCGUUAGAAACAAAAAGAGAAGGAUUUGAAAUUCAAAACCAAACCUGAAAAGCUGUCAGUCGCGUCCCAGGCGCUCCGGGGACGUCUCCGCUUCAACGGGAGACGUCUCGGCUACAAG
rnacentral:lncRNA from 1 species